rnacentral:rRNA from 1 species
UACGUAGGGUGCAAGCGUUGUCCGGAAUUAUUGGGCGUAAAGAGCUCGUAGGCGGUUCGUCGCGUCGGCUGUGAAAACCCGGAGCUCAACUCCGGGCCUGCAGUCGAUACGGGCGGACUGGAGUUCGGCAGGGGAGACGUGGAAUUCCGAUCGGUGGUAGCGGUGAAAUGCGCAGAUAUCAGGAGGAACACCGGUGGCGAAGGCGAUCUUCUGGACGGAUACUGACGCUGAGGCGCGAAAGCGUGGGUAGCAAACAGG